CGCUUCUUUGGCUCCCGUGUGUGUGUUGACAUACCUGCGCUCUGUAAUUUACCUGUGUGUGUGUGUGUGUGUGUGUCUGUGAGUGUGUGUGUGUGUCUUGUUGACAUACUUUGUGGCUCUAAGUACAUGUGUAUGUUUUCACAGUGUUUCCUUUCUUCGCCGACGACCAAACAAGCGCGCCUCUCUUGAACAUGACAGCUCGCCCUCCAGGGCCGAAGAGCGAGGAAGAGGAGGGAACGUUGGAGGAACCAAAGCCUCUCAGAGCUGAGCGAUGGAGCGCUGACAGAGCCGAGGGAGAAGAAGAAACUAACCGAUGUCCAGGACAGGUCUGGGUGAGCAGAAGCUGAUUGGUCGUCUUGUAGGCCGGGGUCCCCCGUUGCCAUGGGAAUGUCCAUCUCCUGAGACCGAAUUGGAUGCUCCAAAGGGCCAGAUUUGGCCCCUAGGCCUUGAGUUUGACACGUGUGUCAGAGGUCAGAGCGAUCAUCUAAAGAGCUUUGAUAUGAUUGGCUGGUGUCGCUAUAGGAGCAGCUGAUUGGAGGAUCCUCACUUCAUCUUCAUCAUCUUCCUCCUCCUCAUGUGAGAUGACGUCCAUUAAUCAUCAGUUUCUCCUUUUCAACUUAUUUCUGUUUCUCAGUUUAACACUUUAUUCACAUUUUUUUUAUUUUUACUUUUUUUAAACUUGUGCCCGUUUUUUAUCUUUUAAAAAAAUCUAUUUUUUUGUUUUGUUUUUCUAUUUUUAAUCUUUUUUUAAAUUCCAUUUUAGCUUUUUUUCAUGUUUUGUUUCAUCAUUUUAUUAUUUGUAAAUAAUAAAAGAACAAGUGAAAUCA
rnacentral:lncRNA from 1 species